GGACCGAACCGACUAAUGUUGAAAAAUUAGCGGAUGACUUGUGGCUGGGGGUGAAAGGCCAAUCAAACCGGGAGAUAGCUGGUUCUCCCCGAAAGCUAUUUAGGUAGCGCCUCGUGAAUUCAUCUCCGGGGGUAGAGCACUGUUUCGGCAAGGGGGUCAUCCCGACUUACCAACCCGAUGCAAACUGCGAAUACCGGAGAAUGUUAUCACGGGAGACACACGGCGGGUGCUAACGUCCGUCGUGAAGAGGGAAACAACCCAGACCGCCAGCUAAGGUCCCAAAGUCAUGGUUAAGUGGGAAACGAUGUGGGAAGGCCCAGACAGCCAGGAUGUUGGCUUAGAAGCAGCCAUCAUUUAAAGAAAGCGUAAUAGCUCACUGGUCGAGUCGGCCUGCGCGGAAGAUGUAACGGGGCUAAACCAUGCACCGAAGCUGCGGCAGCGACACUGUGUGUUGUUGGGUAGGGGAGCGUUCUGUAAGCCUGUGAAGGUGUGCUGUGAGGUAUGCUGGAGGUAUCAGAAGUGCGAAUGCUGACAUAAGUAACGAUAAAGCGGGUGAAAAGCCCGCUCGCCGGAAGACCAAGGGUUCCUGUCCAACGUUAAUCGGGGCAGGGUGAGUCGACCCCUAAGGCGAGGCCGAAAGGCGUAGUCGAUGGGAAACAGGUUAAUAUUCCUGUACUUGGUGUUACUGCGAAGGGGGGACGGAGAAGGCUAUGUUGGCCGGGCGACGGUUGUCCCGGUUUAAGCGUGUAGGCUGGUUUUCCAGGCAAAUCCGGAAAAUCAAGGCUGAGGCGUGAUGACGAGGCACUACGGUGCUGAAGCAACAAAUGCCCUGCUUCCAGGAAAAGCCUCUAAGCAUCAGGUAACAUCAAAUCGUACCCCAAACCGACACAGGUGGUCAGGUAGAGAAUACCAAGGCGCUUGAGAGAACUCGGGUGAAGGAACUAGGCAAAAUGGUGCCGUAACUUCGGGAGAAGGCACGCUGAUAUGUAGGUGAAGUCCCUCGCGGAUGGAGCUGAAAUCAGUCGAAGAUACCAGCUGGCUGCAACUGUUUAUUAAAAACACAGCACUGUGCAAACACGAAAGUGGACGUAUACGGUGUGACGCCUGCCCGGUGCCGGAAGGUUAAUUGAUGGGGUCAGCGCAAGCGAAGCUCUUGAUCGAAGCCCCGGUAAACGGCGGCCGUAACUAUAACGGUCCUAAGGUAGCGAAAUUCCUUGUCGGGUAAGUUCCGACCUGCACGAAUGGCGUAAUGAUGGCCAGGCUGUCUCCACCCGAGACUCAGUGAAAUUGAACUCGCUGUGAAGAUGCAGUGUACCCGCGGCAAGACGGAAAGACCCCGUGAACCUUUACUAUAGCUUGACACUGAACAUUGAGCCUUGAUGUGUAGGAUAGGUGGGAGGCUUUGAAGUGUGGACGCCAGUCUGCAUGGAGCCGACCUUGAAAUACCACCCUUUAAUGUUUGAUGUUCUAACGUGGACCCGUGAUCCGGGUUGCGGACAGUGUCUGGUGGGUAGUUUGACUGGGGCGGUCUCCUCCUAAAGAGUAACGGAGGAGCACGAAGGUUGGCUAAUCCUGGUCGGACAUCAGGAGGUUAGUGCAAUGGCAUAAGCCAGCUUGACUGCGAGCGUGACGGCGCGAGCAGGUGCGAAAGCAGGUCAUAGUGAUCCGGUGGUUCUGAAUGGAAGGGCCAUCGCUCAACGGAUAAAAGGUACUCCGGGGAUAACAGGCUGAUACCGCCCAAGAGUUCAUAUCGACGGCGGUGUUUGGCACCUCGAUGUCGGCUCAUCACAUCCUGGGGCUGAAGUAGGUCCCAAGGGUAUGGCUGUUCGCCAUUUAAAGUGGUACGCGAGCUGGGUUUAGAACGUCGUGAGACAGUUCGGUCCCUAUCUGCCGUGGGCGCUGGAGAACUGAGGGGGGCUGCUCCUAGUACGAGAGGACCGGAGUGGACGCAUCACUGGUGUUCGGGUUGUCAUGCCAAUGGCACUGCCCGGUAGCUAAAUGCGGAAGAGAUAAGUGCUGAAAGCAUCUAAGCACGAAACUUGCCCCGAGAUGAGUUCUCCCUGACCCUUUAAGGGUCCUGAAGGAACGUUGAAGACGACGACGUUGAUAGGCCGGGUGUGUAAGCGCAGCGAUGCGUUGAGCUAACCGGUACUAAUGAACCGUGAGGCUUAACCUUACAACGCCGAAGGUGUUU
rnacentral:rRNA from 1 species